rnacentral:rRNA from 1 species
UACAGAGGUCUCAAGCGUUGUUCGGAUUCAUUGGGCGUAAAGGGUGCGUAGGCGGCGCGGUAAGUCGGGUGUGAAAUCUCGGGGCUUAACUCCGAAACUGCAUUCGAUACUGCGGUGCUUGAGGACUGGAGAGGAGACUGGAAUUCAUGGUGUAGCAGUGAAAUGCGUAGAGAUCAUGAGGAAGACCAGUGGCGAAGGCGGGUCUCUGGACAGUUCCUGACGCUGAGGCACGAAGGUCAGGGGAGCAAACGGG